rnacentral:sRNA from 1 species
AUGGUCACCGAGUCGUGCGGGUGAAAUCCUGCGCUCAGGUUCAGCGAUACGACAACGCGCAGCGUUGCCCGCAGGGUGAGGCCACAGGCCGAAUCAAUCCUGCACGACCCACCC